rnacentral:rRNA from 1 species
AGCGAACGCUGGCGGCAGGCUUAACACAUGCAAGUCGAGCGCCCCGCAAGGGGAGCGGCAGACGGGAGCGUAACACGUGGGAACAUACCGUUUGGUUCGGAACAACUGAGGGAAACUUCAGCUAAUACCGGAUAAGCCCUAACGGGGAAAGAUUUAUCGCCGAAGGUUUGGCCCGCGUCUGAUUAGCUAGUUGGUGAGGUAACGGCUCACCAAGGCGACGAUCAGUAGCUGGUCUGAGAGGAUGAUCAGCCUCACUGGGACUGAGACACGGCCCAGACUCCUACGGGAGGCAGCAGUGGGGAAUAUUGGACCAUGGCGGCAACCCUGAUCCAGCCAUGCCGCGUGAGUGAUGAAGGCCUUAGGGUUGUAAAGCUCUUUUGCCCGUGAAGAUAAUGACGGUACCGAGAGAAUAAGCCCCGGCUAACUUCGUG